UAAUAGCGUAUAUUAAAGUUGUUGCAGUUAAAAAGCUCGUAGUCGAAUUUUGGGGUCGGGCAGGCUGUCGGCCUAGUGUCGGACGGUCAUCUCGGCUCUUUCUUUCUGGGGACCGCGUCACCUUUAACUAGGGGGCGUUUGGGACGCAGAUCGUUUACUUUGAAAAAUUAGAGUGUUCAAAGCAAGCCUUCGCUUGAAUACAUUAGCAUGGAAUAAUGGAAUAGGACUGCGGUUCUAUUUUGUUGGUUUCUAGGACCGAAGUAAUGAUUAAUAGGGACAGUUGGGGCCGUUUGUAUUUCGUUGUCAGAGGUGAAAUUCUUGGAUUUACGAAAGACAAACUUCUGCGAAAGCAUUCGGCAAGGAUGUUUUCAUUGA
rnacentral:rRNA from 1 species